UUGGAUUAGAUACCCUGGUAGUCCACGCCCUAAACGAUGUCAACUAGCUGUUGGGGCCUUCGGGCCUUGGUAGCGCAGCUAACGCGUGAAGUUGACCGCCUGGGGAGUACGGUCGCAAGAUUAAAACUCAAAGGAAUUGACGGGGACCCGCACAAGCGGUGGAUGAUGUGGAUUAAUUCGAUGCAACGCGAAAAACCUUACCUACCCUUGACAUGUCUGGAAUUCCGAAGAGAUUUGGAAGUGCUCGCAAGAGAACCGGAACACAGGUGCUGCAUGGCUGUCGUCAGCUCGUGUCGUGAGAUGUUGGGUUAAGUCCCGCAACGAGCGCAACCCUUGUCAUUAGUUGCUACGAAAGGGCACUCUAAUGAGACUGCCGGUGACAAACCGGAGGAAGGUGGGGAUGACGUCAAGUCCUCAUGGCCCUUAUGGGUAGGGCUUCACACGUCAUACAAUGGUCGGGACAGAGGGUCGCCAACCCGCGAGGGGGAGCCAAUCCCAGAAAGCCGUCUCAGUUCGGAUUGCACUCUGCAACUCGAGUGCAUGAAGUUGGAAUCGCUAGUAAUCGUGGAUCAGCACGCCACGGUGAAUACGUUCCCGGGCCUUGUACACACCGCCCGUCACACCAUGGGAGUUGGUUCUACCCGAAGGCGUUGCGCUAACCUGGCAACAGGAGGCAGGCGACCACGGUAGGGUCAGCGACUGGGGUGAAGUCGUAACAAGGUAGCCGUAAAUCACUAGUGAAUUCGCGGCCGCCUGCAGGUCGACCAUAUGGGA
rnacentral:rRNA from 1 species